UACGUAGGGUGCAGGCGUUAAUCGGAAUUACUGGGCGUAAAGCGUGCGCAGGCGGUGAUGUAAGACAGAUGUGAAAUCCCCGGGCUCAACUUGGGAACUGCAUUUGUGACUGCAUCGCUGGAGUGCGGCAGAGGGGGAUGGAAUUCCGCGUGUAGCAGUGAAAUGCGUAGAUAUGCGGAGGAACACCGAUGGCGAAGGCAAUCCCCUGGGCCUGCACUGACGCUCAUGCACGAAAGCGUGGGGAGCAAACAGG
rnacentral:rRNA from 1 species